CGGGGCCACCUGGUCGCCGGGGGACGUCGUCUCCGGGCCCGCGCCCGCCGAAGCGCUCUGUGAACCCUGAUGAAGAUGGGCUGUCUGAGUACUAUGAAAAUUGUCAAAACUUUCAACAAUGGAUCUCUUGGUUCCGGCAUCGAUGAAGAACGCAGCGAAAUGCGAUAAGUAAUGUGAAUUGCAGAAUUCCGUGAAUCAUCGAAUCUUUGAACGCACAUUGCGCCCCCUGGCAUUCCGGGGGGCAUGCCUGUCCGAGCGUCAUUUCUGCCCUCAAGCACGGCUUGUGUGUUGGGUGCGGUCCCCCCGGGGACCUGCCCGAAAGGCAGCGGCGACGUCCGUCUGGUCCUCGAGCGUAUGGGGCUCUGUCACUCGCUCGGGACGGACCUGCGGGGGAAGGUCACCACCAUAUUUUACCACGGU
rnacentral:rRNA from 1 species